UACGAAGGUGGCAAGCGUUGUUCGGAUUUACUGGGCGUACAGGGAGCGUAGGCGGUUGGAUAAGCCCUCCGUGAAAUCUCCAGGCUUAACCUGGAAAGUGCAGAGGGGACUGUUCAGCUAGAGGAUGGGAGAGGAGCGUGGAAUUCCCAGUGUAGAGGUGAAAUUCGUAGAUAUUGGGAAGAACACCGGUGGCGAAGGCGGCGCUCUGGACCGAGACUGACGCUGAGGCGCGAAAAGCGUGGGGGAGCAAACAGG
rnacentral:rRNA from 1 species